rnacentral:rRNA from 1 species
GUAGGGAAUAUUGCGCAAUGGGGGAAACCCUGACGCAGCAACGCCGCGUGGAGGAUGACACUUUUCGGAGCGUAAACUCCUUUUCUUAGGGAAGAAUUCUGACGGUACCUAAGGAAUAAGCACCGGCUAACUCCGUGCCAGCAGCCGCGGUAAUACGGAGGGUGCAAGCGUUACUCGGAAUCACUGGGCGUAAAGGGCGCGUAGGCGGAUUAUCAAGUCUCUUGUGAAAUCUAAUGGCUUAACCAUUAAACUGCUUGGGAAACUGAUAGUCUAGAGUGAGGGAGAGGCAGAUGGAAUUGGUGGUGUAGGGGUAAAAUCCGUAGAUAUCACCAAGAAUACCCAUUGCGAAGGCGAUCUGCUGGAACUCAACUGACGCUAAGGCGCGAAAGCGUGGGGAGCAAACAGGAUUAGAAACCCUAGUAGUCC